rnacentral:rRNA from 1 species
GGAAUUCCUGGUGUAGCGGUGGAAUGCGCAGAUAUCAGGAGGAACACCGAUGGCGAAGGCAGAUCUCUGGGCCGUAACUGACGCUGAGGAGCGAAAGCAUGGGGAGCAAACAGGCUUAGAUACCCUGGUAGUCCAUGCCGUAAACGUUGGGAACUAGAUGUGGGGACCAUUCCACGGUCUCCGUGUCGUAGCUAACGCAUUAAGUUCCCCGCCUGGGGAGUACGGCCGCAAGGCUAAAACUCAAAGGAAUUGACGGGGGCCCGCACAAGCGGCGGAGCAUGCGGAUUAAUUCGAUGCAACGCGAAGAACCUUACCAAGGCUUGACAUAUACGAGAACGCACUGGAGACAGUGAACUCUUUGGACACUCGUAUACAGGUGGUGCAUGGUUGUCGUCAGCUCGUGUCGUGAGAUGUUGGGUUAAGUCCCGCAACGAGCGCAACCCUCGUCCUAUGUUGCCAGCACGUAAUGGUGGGAACUCAUGGGAUACUGCCGGGGUCAACUCGGAGGAAGGUGGGGAUGAGGUCAAAUCAUCAUGCCCCUUAUGUCUUGGGCUUCACGCAUGCUACAAUGGCCGGUACAAUGGGCUGCGAUACCGCAAGGUGGAGCGAAUCCCAAAAAGCCGGUCUCAGUUCGGAUUGAGGUCUGCAACUCGACCUCAUGAAGUCGGAGUCGCUAGUAAUCGUAGAUCAGCAACGCUACGGUGAAUACGUUCCCGGGCCUUGUACACACCGCCCGUCAAGUCAUGAAAGUCGGUAACACCCGAAGC